ACAGCAACGUGUAAACACCGGUAACCGUACAAUCACCGAAGUUAAGCAACUUUGAACCUGGUCAGUACCUAGAUCGGUGACCACUUGGGAAUAUCAAGUGCUGUAAU